UUCAAUGACACUGAAGGCUAACACCUAUGGAUUUUUGACCAAGAAAUGGUCUCCACCAUAAAUCCAAGAAUGUGAUCUAUGACAAGGAAACAUAUGUGUAGUGAGGUGUAUGAGCCUCUGGUCGAAGAUCAAUGGCCACACAACCCCCAUUUUUGUCGAAAAUAGCCAUGAAUGACCAUUUUCAAAAAUACCGAAGGCUAACAAAUUCGGAUUUUUGCCCAAGAAAUGGUCUCCACCAGAAAUCCAAGAAUGUGAUCUAUGGCAAGGAAACAUAUGUGGGGUGAGGUGUAUGAGCCUCUAGUUGAUGAUCAAUGGACACACAACCCCCAUUUUGUCGAAAAUAGCCAUGAACGACCAUUUUCAAUAAUACCGAAGGCUAACACGUACGAAUUUUUGACUAAGAAAUGGUCUCCACCAGAAAUCCAAGAAUGUGAUCUAUGGCAAGGAAACAUAUGUGGGGUGAGGUGUACGAGCCUCUAGUCGAUGAUAAAUGGCCACGCAACCCCCAUUUUUGAUGAAAAUAGCCAUGAACGACCAUUUUCAAUAAUACCAGAGGCUAACACCUACGGAUUUUUGACCAAGAAAUGGUCUCCACUAGAAAUCCAAGAAUGUGAUCUAUGGCAAAGAAACAUAUGUGGGGUGAGGUGUAUGAGCCUCUUGUCGAUGAUAAAUAGCCACACAACCCCCAUUUUUGUCGAAAAUAGCCAUGAACGACCAUUUUCAAUAAUACCGAACCUAUGGAUUUUUUACCAAGAAAUGGUAUCCACCAGAAAUCCAAAAAUGUGAUUUAUGGCAAGGAAACAUAUGUGGGGUGAGGUGUACGAGCCUCUGGUCGAUGAUCAAUGGCCACACAACCCCCAUUUUUUCGAAAAUAGCCAUGAAUGACCAUUUUCAAUGACACUGAAGGCUAACACCU
rnacentral:lncRNA from 1 species